GCCGGGGUGGCGGAAUUGGUAGACGCAAGGGACUUAAAAUCCCUCGUAGGGUAACCUAUGUGCCGGUUCGAGUCCGGCCCUCGGCA
rnacentral:tRNA from 1 species